rnacentral:rRNA from 1 species
AGAGUUUGAUCCUGGCUCAGGAUGAACGCUGGCGGCGUGCCUAAUACAUGCAAGUCGAGCGAACGGACGAGAAGCUUGCUUCUCUGAUGUUAGCGGCGGACGGGUGAGUAACACGUGGAUAACCUACCUAUAAGACUGGGAUAACUUCGGGAAACCGGAGCUAAUACCGGAUAAUAUUUUGAACCGCAUGGUUCAAAAGUGAAAGACGGUCUUGCUGUCACUUAAAGAUGGAUCCGCGCUGCAUUAGCUAGUUGGUAAGGUAACGGCUUACCAAGGCAACGAUGCAUAGCCGACCUGAGAGGGUGAUCGGCCACACUGGAACUGAGACACGGUCCAGACUCCUACGGGAGGCAGCAGUAGGGAAUCUUCCGCAAUGGGCGAAAGCCUGACGGAGCAACGCCGCGUGAGUGAUGAAGGUCUUCGGAUCGUAAAACUCUGUUAUUAGGGAAGAACAUAUGUGUAAGUAACUGUGCACAUCUUGACGGUACCUAAUCAGAAAGCCACGGCUAACUACGUGCCAGCAGCCGCGGUAAUACGUAGGUGGCAAGCGUUAUCCGGAAUUAUUGGGCGUAAAGCGCGCGUAGGCGGUUUUUUAAGUCUGAUGUGAAAGCCCACGGCUCAACCGUGGAGGGUCAUUGGAAACUGGAAAACUUGAGUGCAGAAGAGGAAAGUGGAAUUCCAUGUGUAGCGGUGAAAUGCGCAGAGAUAUGGAGGAACACCAGUGGCGAAGGCGACUUUCUGGUCUGUAACUGACGCUGAUGUGCGAAAGCGUGGGGAUCAAACAGGAUUAGAUACCCUGGUAGUCCACGCCGUAAACGAUGAGUGCUAAGUGUUAGGGGGUUUCCGCCCCUUAGUGCUGCAGCUAACGCAUUAAGCACUCCGCCUGGGGAGUACGACCGCAAGGUU